GUGUGUGUGUGAGUGUGUGUGUGUGGUGAGGAGGAGAGCAGCUGAGCAUUUUACUUCACUUCACUUUUAUAUCAAACAACAAUGCUCUCAUUAUCGGUGCUGCUGCUGCUUUCAGCUGCAUUCUGUGGUGUUGGCGGUGUGGAGCUCACUCAGACAGCCUCUGUGCUCGUGAAGCCUGGAGAGUCGUUCUCCAUCUCUUGUAAGAUCUCAGAAUCCAGUUAUUGUAUUAACUGGAUACGGCAACCUGCUGGAAAAGCUCUGGAAUGGCUCGGAUAUCUGUGUGAUGGUGGUAGCACUGAUCUCAAAGACACAAUGAAGAGCAAGAUCAGUCUCAGUCAGGACAAAUCCAUCAGCACGGUUUAUUUAAGAGGACAGAACUUUCAGGUCGAGGACACGGCUGUGUAUUACUGUGCCAGAGACACAACACGACAAACUCACUGAAGCCCUGUACAAAAACAUCCCUGCUCAUUUUCCUCUCUCUGCUGUACACUUGUCCCCAGGGACUGUGGUAUAUAUGAGCUAGCAGAGCUAAGACCCAUCUUUAUCUCAACAAUACAUUAAAUUAUUGUUAAUUAAGUGAAUACACAGUUUAUCCAUCAUUAAUACUACACCAAUCCAGUUGU